UACGAAGGGGACUAGCGUUGUUCGGAAUCACUGGGCGUAAAGCGCACGUAGGCGGAUUUGUAAGUCAGGGGUGAAAUCCCGGGGCUCAACCUCGGAACUGCCUUUGAUACUGCGAAUCUAGAGUCCGAUAGAGGUGGGUGGAAUUCCUAGUGUAGAGGUGAAAUUCGUAGAUAUUAGGAAGAACACCGGUGGCGAAGGCGGCCCACUGGAGCGGUACUGACGCUGAGGUGCGAAAGCGUGGGGAGCAAACAGG
rnacentral:rRNA from 1 species